AUCGAACAGAAAGUAAUGUAAUUUUUGCCGUGUGAUGUUCACCACCGAGAAGUCGAUAGAAAGUUUCCAAUUCUUCUUGUUUCUUCUUCUUCCCUCACGCGAUUAACAGGCGCAUCAUAGUCGUAGUCGUACAACCCAACGCCCAAAAGGACCGCACUAUCUUUUCAAAAUUUAGCGAAAGCUUUCACGGCGCCAAAGCCACCCAACACCCCCCCUUGGCUAUCGUCAGAUUCCUCCACGUGGCGCACUCCUCCCGAGGCACAGUAAACUUUCUCACCUUACGUGGGAUCUCCAACUUUCGGCCGUCACAAAUCCCUCCCUCAACUUCGCUGUCGUCUGAUCACUCCCCCCACCCCACCUCGCUGACCUUAUACGUCGUCGUCGUUUCUCUCUCUGAUCCCGGGCAUUUCCUCCCUCUCCCCCUCCUGAGUUUCAUCGCCACCUGUUCUCUUUCAAACUCCAAUUCCAAAGCGUUUCUCUGGCAAUGUGGAAUUUCCAGGACUAGGUCUGCGAUUCGCCGACGACUGGUCUCUCCGGCUCCGAGAGUUUCUGCUUUUCGCGCCAUGACCGAUCCUCAGGUCACUUAGGGGUCUCUGCGCCGGGUGGUCUUGCUGGAAGGAAGCGGAGAUUUCGAUCCGAGCUUCCGAGUCGGUGAGACUUUGCGUUUCGAUUUCCGGCUCGGAUUGCGCUCGAUUCGAAA
rnacentral:lncRNA from 1 species